GCUUACGGCCAUACCACCCUGAGAACGCCCGAUCUCGUCCGAUCUCGGAAGCUAAGCAGGGUCGGGCCCUGGUUAGUACUUGGAUUGGGAGACCGCCUGGGAAUACCAGGUGCUGUAAGCU
ensembl:rRNA 5S_rRNA 5S ribosomal RNA